rnacentral:rRNA from 1 species
UCAUACCUAUUCGAAGGGAUAGGGUCGGUUCGUCCGGGUUUCACACAGGUGUUGCAUGGCUGUCGUCAGCUCGUGUCGUGAGAUGUUGGGUUAAGUCCCGCAACGAGCGCAACCCUCAUCCUUAGUUACCAUCAGGUAAUGCUGGGGACUUUAAGGAAACUGCCAGUGAUAAACUGGAGGAAGGUGGGGAUGAUGUCAAGUCAUCAUGGCCCUUAUGGAGUGGGCUACACACGUGCUACAAUGGUGGCUACAAUGGGCUGCAAAGUCGCGAGGCUAAGCUAAUCCCUUAAAAGCCAUCUCAGUUCGGAUUGUACUCUGCAACUCGAGUGCAUGAAGUUGGAAUCGCUAGUAAUCGUGGAUCAGCACGCCACGGUGAAUACGUU